rnacentral:tRNA from 2 species
GCUGUCGUAGCUCAGUAGGUAGAGCACUACAUUGGUAAUGUAGAGGUCACGGGUUCAAAUCCCGUCGUCAGCUCCA